UUCCUUCCUUUCCUUCCUUACCUUCCUUGUCAGAACUGGAUUUUCAUUAAUGAUUCUCCCUUCCAGGUUUGAGUUUUAUUGGGGGGAAAUGCAGUUCUUGGAGGGGUUCAGCAGCAGAAUUUGGUUCGAGGUGGGGAGAAAAUGGGAGAUUGAGUUUGCCCUGAGUGACAAAAGGUGGGAGCUGGUGGUGGGCAACACCUGGAGAAGCUUUGAAAUGGGAAAGAAAAGGGACAGGAGCCCCUUUUUGGGUCACACACAUCCCAGGAGAAAGCCCAAACUCUCCUGGAGCCAUUUCUGAGUGUAAAACACAACAAAAUGUGGGUUUAUCCUGGCCUGGAGCUGCAGGAGCUCCCACCUGAGGCUCUGCCCGGGGCUGGGAGGGGUUAAUGAACAGUGGGAUUAAUGAACAGUGGGGUUAAUGAACAGUGGGGUUAAUGAACAGUGGGGUUAAUGAACAGUGGGGUUAAUGAACAGUGGGGUUAAUGAACAAUGGGGGUUAAUUCAAACAGCUGGCUGGGUGGGGGAAUGAUUCCCUGAUGAAUAAUUCCCAAUAUUUCCCAAAUCAGCUUGGGACAGGGAAGGAACACCUCGGUGUAGGCCAGGCCUGAUGAGCCACUUUUGUCCCUGCCAGUGGUGACCCCAGAGCUCAUCCUCAGAUGGAUUUGGGAUCCACCUUUCCUGGGAGCUGCUCUCCAGCACAGAUGUCGUUUCCAUGUGGUUUCCAGCUGGUCAGGGCUGAACCUCAAACCACCUCCGAGCUGGGAUGAGGCAGAGGAGAGGAAAUUCCAGCAGAAAUUCCAGUUUUUCUCCUGAUCCUCACGGUGUGCUGGAGUUCCCAUGGGACUGGGUGAUAUCCUGGUUUUUCCUGAAGUGAAAUAUGGAGUGUUGACGGCUGCUGGGUGAUCUGGGCAUCACCAAGUGCUGGUUGGUGAAAUAUUUAAUUUUGGAGAUUUUAUUCUGUUUCCCUCUGGCUGCUGGGGAGAUUUGGAAUUGUCCCAUUGAGUGGGGAUGGAGGUUUUUGGAUUGGAAUAAUCCCCCUGCUGUGGAUGCUGAAUUUCCUCUCUCCCUUUUAUCUUCCCUGAAAAUACAACCACAGGAGCUGGGAGCUUUUUUCUGGAGGAAAAUAUUCAGAAAUAAAGGUUUGAAACCAGCAGA